CUGGAGGGUGGGCCUAACAGAACCUGCAUCAGCGGUGAAUGGACCGGACAGAUGAGAUGCCUCAAACCCUGUAUUGUGAAUGAAGACCUCUAUAGACAACACAACAUUACUAUAAAAUCUAGUGACAGUACAUUUUUCCCUCAUGAUGAAAUAAUUGAGUUCAGGUGUGCCAGAGGAGUACCAGUCGGUGCAGUGGCAAUGCGUCAGAGGUGUAAUGGGGGUGUGAUUCUCCUGCCUACCUGCCAGUGAGAGUCAUCUGAAAGUAAUCUACAGAGCAUGCAGACUUAUCCUCCACUUUAACUGUGAACAUUAUAAUAAAACAUACUUGAUCUCUGUC